rnacentral:rRNA from 1 species
GCCCAGGCGCGAAAACUUUGCAAUACACGAAAGUGUGACAGGGUCAUCCCGAGUGCCGACCGCUGAGGUUGGCUUUUACCCAGUCUAGAAAGCUGGGGGAAUAAGGAGAGGGCAAGUCUGGUGUCAGCCGCCGCGGUAAUACCAGCUCUCCGAGUGGUGUGGACGUUUAUUGGGCCUAAAGCAUCCGUAGCUGGCUGAACAAGUCCCCUGUUAAACCCACCGAUUUAAUCGUUGGUCUGCGGGGGAUACUGCUCGGCUAGGGGACGAGAGAGGCAGACGGUAUUCCCGGGGUAGGGGUGAAAUCCUAUAAUCCCGAGAAGACCACCAGUGGCGAAGGCUGUCUGCUAGAACGCGCCCGACGGUGAGGGAUGAAAGCUGGGGGAGCGAACCGGAUUAGAUACCCGGGUAGUCCCAGCUGUAAACGAUGCAGACUAGGUGUUUGGACGGCCACGUGCCGUUCUAGUGCCGCAGGGAAGCUGUUAAGUCUGCCGCCUGGGGAGUACGAUCGCAAGAUUGAAACUUAAAGGAAUUGGCGGGGGAGCAC